GAGCGGGUCCAAUAUGCCUGGAAUAGAACCAGCAUCUGUUUCUUUAUGUGGAUUAAAAAGCACACAGUUGAUACUGGAAUUACAACCCCAUCGACGUGGAUGAAAUGAUUCACGGCGGCGUCGGCUGGCAGUGCUGGGGCUCACAGGGUGGAGGAGUGCGGACAGCCAGGCCCUGAACGUGAAGAAUCUCACCGCUCUGCUCCAGGGUCCACCGUUUCCAUGCCAACGGGCAGCAGGACACAGGGGAAGAACAGAGCCGUGUGUGAGCUGUACCUCUUGACUGGGUCCGAACACACUCCCAUGCCAGUCAGAACCAGCAGCAGAACCUGCUCAGAGAGGACUGGCACAGGCGGUUCUGCUGCAGGGAGCGAGCCGGAUCCGCACUUUUUCAGAGCAUUUCAGCGGAGGGACAGGACAGGGUGCUCUGCGUUUCUCCUGAAGCAUUUUGAACAUUUCAGGUUU